rnacentral:snRNA from 1 species
CUGCUCUCUUUGGCAGCACAUCCACUAAAAAUUGGAACGAUACAGAGAAGAUUUGCAUGGCUCCUGCAUGAGGAUGACACACAAAUUCCUGAAGCGUUGCAUUAAAAA